rnacentral:rRNA from 1 species
GAUCAUGGUUCAGGAUGAACGCUAGCUACAGGCUUAACACAUGCAAGUCGAGGGGCAGCAUGGUCUUAGCUUGCUAAGGCCGAUGGCGACCGGCGCACGGGUGAGUAACACGUAUCCAACCUGCCGUCUACUCUUGGACAGCCUUCUGAAAGGAAGAUUAAUACAGGAUGGCAUCAUGAGUCCGCAUGUUCACAUGAUUAAAGGUAUUCCGGUAGACGAUGGGG